UGCAGGAAGAAAGAGUACACCCCUUAGAGAACAUGGGAUCCUGUUACUACCACAGACCGCUGGUCUCAGCACAUUUUAGUUCAGACCCGCAGCGUUCGCAGGCCUUGUUUCAUUAAUACUGAAGAGCUGCUAUGCAGAUAUUUUACUUUGGCUUCAGUAUGAAAUCACUGUGAAUCUACUGGUUAUUUGCAGUACACUGUAUUUCAAAAUGGAAGAUGAGCUUUGUCAAGUGGAAGAUGUAAUUGAGUUUAUCCAAGGUGCCUACUUGGCUGCAAUUUGCUUCAUUUUGGGGGUAGCUGAUGGAGAAGAUGGCAUGAUUAUGCAUGUCUACAAAUCUCAGUACAGAACUGACUGCUUCUGGGAGCCCUUCCUGGAGAUCGCUAACCUCACCCUUCUGGAUUUUUGCUGCUUGCAAUAAAAACAUGAUGGCUCUUGGUAAGCACCCUAGU